AUGAAACGUAUUUUCAUACUAUAUAGUUUUAGUAUUGUAGGUGUUUAUAUUUUUUUAUAUAAAUUUGAUCAAAGUUUGUGCAGUUUGACUUUGUCUAAAUCUUAUAUGCGGAGUAAAAAGAAAUGGAGGGAGUAUCUAUACUAUCCUAUACUGCUAUCUCUUGAUGUAUCCCAUGGUGUGCUUGUUAAUUUAGCCGAGCCUAGAUUAUCUUUUGAUGCAUCCCAUGGUGUGCUUGUUAAUUUACCCGAGCCUGGACGAUCUGAGAUAGACAUGAUCUCAGAAAAUAUGGCGGCUAGCUAA
rnacentral:rRNA from 1 species